rnacentral:misc_RNA from 1 species
GAUGAAGAACGCAGCGAAAUGCGACAAGUAAUGUGAAUUGCAGAAUUCCGUGAAUCAUCGAAUCUUUGAACGCACAUUGCGCCCGCCAGCAUUCUGGCGGGCAUGCCUGUUCGAGCGUCAUUUCAACCCUCGACCUCCCUUUGGGGAAGUCGGCGUUGGGGACCGGCAGCACACCGCCGGCCCUGAAAUGGAGUGGCGGCCCGUCCGCGGCGACCUCUGCGUAGUAAUCCAACUCGCACCGGAACCCCGACGCGGCCACGCCGUAAAACACCCAACUUCUGAACGUUGACCUCGAAUCAGGUAGGACUACCCGCUGAACUUAAGCAUAUCAAUAAGCGGAGGA